AGCCCUACGUGGGGGUCGAACCCACAACCUUCAGAUUAGAAGUCUGACGCGCUACCAUUGCGCCAGCAGGGC
rnacentral:tRNA from 1 species